rnacentral:rRNA from 1 species
UACGUAGGGUGCGAGCGUUGUCCGGAAUUAUUGGGCGUAAAGAGCUCGUAGGCGGUUUGUCGCGUCGGAUGUGAAAGCCCGGGGCUUAACUCCGGGUCUGCAUUCGAUACGGGCAGACUAGAGUGUGGUAGGGGAGAUCGGAAUUCCUGGUGUAGCGGUGAAAUGCGCAGAUAUCAGGAGGAACACCGGUGGCGAAGGCAGCACUCUGGGACGGUACUGACGCUGAGACGCGAAAGCGUGGGGAGCAAACAGG